AGGCUUUAUAGUCAAUAAUGAUGUUAGACUGCAAUUCUAAAGGAAUAAGUAAUUUAUUUAAGCUUA
rnacentral:tRNA from 1 species